rnacentral:sRNA from 1 species
AUGUGGUGUGUCUCAAUGAUGUUUCCUGCUACUUUUCCCUUCUGGAGGGUGGUCGGCCAGAAGACAAGUUAGAAUUCACCUUCAAGCUGUACGACACGGACAGAAAUGGGAUCCUGGACAGCUCAGAAGUGGACAAAAUUAUCCUACAGAUGAUGCGAGUGGCUGAAUACCUGGAUUGGGAUGUGUCUGAGCUGAGGCCGAUUCUUCAGGAGAUGAUGAAAGAGAUUGACUAUGAUGGCAGUGGCUCUGUCUCUCAAGCUGAGUGGGUCCGGGCUGGGGCCACCACCGUGCCACUGCUAGUGCUGCUGGGUCUGGAGAUGACUCUGAAGGACGAUGGACAGCACAUGUGGAGGCCCAAGAGGUUCCCCAGACCAGUCUACUGCAAUCUGUGCGAGUCAAGCAUUGGUCUUGGCAAACAGGGACUGAGCUGUAACCUCUGUAAGUACACUGUUCACGACCAGUGUGCCAUGAAAGCCCUGCCUUGUGAAGUCAGCACCUAUGCCAAGUCUCGGAAGGACAUUGGUGUCCAAUCACAUGUGUGGGUGCGAGGAGGCUGUGAGUCCGGGCGCUGCGACCGCUGUCAGAAAAAGAUCCGGAUCUACCACAGUCUGACCGGGCUGCAUUGUGUAUGGUGCCACCUAGAGAUCCACGAUGACUGCCUGCAAGCGGUGGGCCAUGAGUGUGACUGUGGGCUGCUCCGGGAUCACAUCCUGCCUCCAUCUUCCAUCUAUCCCAGUGUCCUGGCCUCUGGACCGGAUCGUAAAAAUAGCAAAACAAGCCAGAAGACCAUGGAUGAUUUAAAUUUGAGCACCUCUGAGGCUCUGCGGAUUGACCCUGUUCCUAACACCCACCCACUUCUCGUCUUUGUCAAUCCUAAGAGUGGCGGGAAGCAGGGGCAGAGGGUGCUCUGGAAGUUCCAGUAUAUAUUAAACCCUCGACAGGUGUUCAACCUCCUAAAGGAUGGUCCUGAGAUAGGGCUCCGAUUAUUCAAGGAUGUUCCUGAUAGCCGGAUUUUGGUGUGUGGUGGAGAUGGCACAGUAGGCUGGAUUCUAGAGACCAUUGACAAAGCUAACUUGCCAGUUUUGCCUCCUGUUGCUGUGUUGCCCCUGGGUACUGGAAAUGAUCUGGCUCGAUGCCUAAGAUGGGGAGGAGGGUAUGAAGGACAGAAUCUGGCAAAGAUCCUCAAGGAUUUAGAGAUGAGUAAAGUGGUACAUAUGGAUCGAUGGUCUGUGGAGGUGAUACCUCAACAAACUGAAGAAAAAAGUGACCCAGUCCCCUUUCAAAUCAUCAAUAACUACUUCUCUAUUGGCGUGGAUGCCUCUAUUGCUCAUCGAUUCCACAUCAUGCGAGAGAAAUAUCCGGAGAAGUUCAACAGCAGAAUGAAGAACAAGCUAUGGUACUUCGAAUUUGCCACAUCUGAAUCCAUCUUCUCAACAUGCAAAAAGCUGGAGGAGUCUUUGACAGUUGAGAUCUGUGGGAAACCGCUGGAUCUGAGCAACCUGUCCCUAGAAGGCAUCGCAGUGCUAAACAUCCCUAGCAUGCAUGGUGGCUCCAACCUCUGGGGUGAUACCAGGAGACCCCAUGGGGAUAUCUAUGGGAUCAACCAGGCCUUAGGUGCUACAGCUAAAGUCAUCACCGACCCUGAUAUCCUGAAAACCUGUGUACCAGACCUAAGUGACAAGAGACUGGAAGUGGUCGGGCUGGAGGGUGCAAUUGAGAUGGGCCAAAUCUAUACCAAGCUCAAGAAUGCCGGACGUCGGCUGGCCAAGUGCUCUGAGAUCACCUUCCACACCACAAAAACCCUUCCCAUGCAAAUUGAUGGAGAACCCUGGAUGCAGACGCCCUGUACAAUCAAGAUCACCCACAAGAACCAGAUGCCCAUGCUCAUGGGCCCACCCCCCCGCUCCACCAAUUUCUUUGGCUUCUUGAGCUAAGGGGGACACCCUUGGCCUCCAAGCCAG